rnacentral:misc_RNA from 1 species
AUGAAGAACGUAGCGAAAUGCGAUAAGUAAUGUGAAUUGCAGAAUUCAGUGAAUCAUCGAAUCUUUGAACGCACAUUGCGCCCGCCAGUAUUCUGGCGGGCAUGCCUGUUCGAGCGUCAUUUCAACCAUCAAGCCCCCGGGCUUGUGUUGGGGACCUGCGGCUGCCGCAGGCCCUGAAAAGCAGUGGCGGGCUCGCUGUCACACCGAGCGUAGUAGAUUUUAUCUCGCUCAGGGCGUGCUGCGGGUUCCGGCCGUUAAACCACCUUCAUAACCCAAGGUUGACCUCGGAUCAGGUAGGAAGACCCGCUGAACUUAAGCAUAUCAAUAAGCGGAGGA